rnacentral:antisense_RNA from 1 species
UCAUGGCGGCUGUGCGUGGGAGACCUUCGGGUCUGCCGGGUACCAAGGCCCCGGUUCGCCAACCUGCGCACAGCUGCCUCCA